UUUAAAAACUACUAAAACCAUAACAGUCGUUAAAAAGAUCCCACCAAAAAUUACAACUACAAAGAAAGUUGUAACAGCAGAGUGUCAGACUUGCAAAUAUACCAAAAACAAAACACAGCCAAAAAUGAUUGCAAGAGUAUUAAGAGGACCAAUUAAGCUCAAAAAAGCAUUACCCACAAAAAAGUACACGACAAAACCGGUGAAAAAAGUCGCAGUUAAAUUUACGAAGAAGAAUAUUGUACCGCUUUCCAAAAAUAAAAGAAAGGGUUUAUCCUAUGCUAGAAUUAUAAAGAAGGCAAAUUUGAAAACAACGAAACAAGUUCUGCGGGUUCUUACUAAGAAGCCAGUCAUUACAACUACUCGUAAAGUAGAAACAACAACAGCCUCACCAAUACCAGCCAAUUGGGUGAACGUUUUACAAGAUUUAGUUCAAGCACUUAAAGCCGUUGAAUUGAAACAAAAUACAAGUGCUUGCAAUAAAGAAGCAACAACAGUAGCAGAGAUACUCUCGCAGCACCUCACUCCAAGUCCUAGCGGCAGAAGAUCGAUGAGUGAUUUUGCCGGAACAAAUUUGGAAGAUGUCAUAUCUGUGCUUUUAGAUGGAGUUGAAAUAGACAAAUCAGAAAAUGAAGUUCUUAAUGACUUCAGCGAUACCAACAAUGAAAAAGAAGCUAGUUACAAUGAAGAUUUGGUGACAGAAAAAAGUACAGAUUUAAAUACCUUGAACACCAUAAGUUACAGUGACAAUCGUCUGUAUGAAAAUAGUUUUACAAUCAGAAAUCGAGCCACAAUUAAAUAUCCUUUACCUCCAAAAACGAACAUAUUAAGGAAACCACAUGUGAAGUCAUUCUUUGAAGCUCUAAAAGCGAGAUAUAAAGAAGUAAGUAGAAAUAUGUCACUAAGUUCUAGGGAAAUGAAUCCUCCAGUUUUGAAAGCAAGAUCUGGUGAAAAGGAGCAAGAAGAUGAUCAAGAAGAAAACGUAAUUAUAGAUUUAGAUGCUCUCACAAAUCAAGCCGAAAUAGACCAAAUUGAUGAUGACAAAGAAAUUUCUGGAGAGAAAUUGGUCAUUCUAGAUUUAGCAGAGCCGGAAACUGCAGAUGCUGAAGUCACAAACGUUAAUUCUGACGAAAAUGAUAUAGUGUUACAACUAGAAAAAAUGGAAACAAAAGAAGAUACUGGUGAAAAUACAAAUGCCCUUCAAUUGGACGAAAGCAACAAUCCUGAUAUUAUUAAUAAAGAGCCCGAAACUGUAACAGAGAACAUAGAAACCAAAGAAAUCGAAGCAGAAAAUGAGACAACUACUGAAGCUGCUACGGAAAGUCCCACCGACGAAACAGAAAAUGGAGAAAUUGAGAUAGAAGUUGGUACCGAGGAACCAGAAACAAUAUUAGAUGAGAGUGUAACAGAAGAUAUAUUUAAAUACAUUCUAGAUGAUGGUUUACAAGAAAAAGAAGAAAAUAUUGAAACAGAUACUUUGAGCAUCCUUGACAAGCGAUUUUCUGGGCGUCGAUUUCGUUCACCCAGAGUUUGGCAACACAAAUUAAAUAAUUUAAAAAAUGUAGGUAAUGUAUGAGAUAGGAACUCACGGUGAUUUGCGCCCGUAAUACAAUUUAUUAAAUAGGUUUUUUGCUGCCAUGGCGUGAGAAUCCUAGCCCUUUAUGAAAUUAAUGUUCCGAUAAUAUAUUAAUAUUUCUUCAACAAUCACGAAGGCGUUAAACACACCGUGAGUUUUUCCUCCAAAAUUGUGCACGUAAAGUAUUAAAAUAUAUUUUAUAUCUUCAAUAACCUCAUGAAGCGUUAUCAUAGACUUAUAAAUAAAUUAAGAAACAUCCUAAGUCUUUCAAUCAUCGCCUUUCAUAUCGCUUCCUCUCUCAUUUUUAAGUUUUAUCCUCUUUCUAUUUAUAUUCUUGCAUAGUGCUAAAACAUUAUAGUUCCGCCCGUGAUAAGUGCUUUUGAUAAAGUUUAUGACUUUGUAAUUUAUUUCUAACAACAUUUCAGUUUCAUAAUCAAACGUUCCACUGUUAAGUCCAAGUUAUCAAUUUACUAUAAGUGUCGGUUUUCCGUCAUUUUUAUUGUAAACAUGGCGAGGUGACCUGAUUUCUACGUGAUGAAUAAGUUAAUGAUUUACUGUUCGUUAUGGAUUAUGUUAAUUGCAAAACUGGAGUGCGCUGUAAUACGCCUGGAUCAAAGUAAACGAGUAAAAGACGGCCUCGAAUAUGUUAUGCAGAAGUAUCUGAGUCCACUUCGAAAAUUAACAGCGGAAUUACCAAACCAUGCAAUAGAGAUGCAAAUAGAAAUCCAUGAAUCAGUACCUAACCCUCCAACGACGCCAGCGCCUCCGAGACGAUUGAUACGCGUCGUCAAUCGCCAUCCUUUGAAACCCAUCAAGCGGUCGAAUGACAACUUUCCACCAGAAGAACCGAGCAAUGCAGCACCAUCAGUGCCACCGCCUCCUCCGCCACCACCACCA